AGUGAGCGCUGGCGGUAGGCCUAACACAUGCAAGUCGAACGGCAGCACAGUAAGAGCUUGCUCUUACGGGUGGCGAGUGGCGGACGGGUGAGGAAUACAUCGGAAUCUACUUUUUCGUGGGGGAUAACGUAGGGAAACUUACGCUAAUACCGCAUACGACCUACGGGUGAAAGCAGGGGAUCUUCGGACCUUGCGCGAUUGAAUGAGCCGAUGUCGGAUUAGCUAGUUGGCGGGGUAAAGGCCCACCAAGGCGACGAUCCGUAGCUGGUCUGAGAGGAUGAUCAGCCACACUGGAACUGAGACACGGUCCAGACUCCUACGGGAGGCAGCAGUGGGGAAUAUUGGACAAAGGGCGCAAGCCUGAUCCAGCCAUACCGCGUGGGUGAAGAAGGCCUUCGGGUUGUAAAGCCCUUUUGUUGGGAAAGAAAAGCAGCAGGUUAAUACCCCGCUGUUCUGACGGUACCCAAAGAAUAAGCACCGGCUAACUUCGUG
rnacentral:rRNA from 1 species